CCUACGGGUGGCAGCAGUGGGGAAUAUUGGACAAUGGGCGAAAGCCUGAUCCAGCCAUGCCGCGUGUGUGAAGAAGGCCUUCGGGUUGUAAAGCACUUUCAGUGGGGAAGAAAGCCUUGGGGCUAAUACCCUCGAGGAAGGACAUCACCCACAGAAGAAGCACCGGCUAACUCCGUGCCAGCAGCCGCGGUAAUACGGAGGGUGCGAGCGUUAAUCGGAAUUACUGGGCGUAAAGCGCGCGUAGGCGGUCUGAUAAGCCGGUUGUGAAAGCCCCGGGCUCAACCUGGGAACGGCAUCCGGAACUGUCAGGCUAGAGUGCAGGAGAGGAAGGUAGAAUUCCCGGUGUAGCGGUGAAAUGCGUAGAGAUCGGGAGGAAUACCAGUGGCGAAGGCGGCCUUCUGGACUGACACUGACGCUGAGGUGCGAAAGCGUGGGUAGCGAACAGGAUUAGAUACCCUUGUAGUC
rnacentral:rRNA from 1 species